CCUACGGGGGGCAGCAGUGAGGAAUAUUGGUCAAUGGACGAGAGUCUGAACCAGCCAAGUAGCGUGAAGGAUGACUGCCCUAUGGGUUGUAAACUUCUUUUAUAAAGGAAUAAAACGAGGCACGUGUGCCUUUUUGCAUGUACUUUAUGAAUAAGGAUCGGCUAACUCCGUGCCAGCAGCCGCGGUAAUACGGAGGAUGCGAGCGUUAUCCGGAUUUAUUGGGUUUAAAGGGUGCGUAGGCGGGCUUUUAAGUCAGCGGUAAAAAUUCGGGGCUCAACCCCGUCCGGUCGUUGAAACUGGGGGCCUGGAGUGGGCGAGAAGAAGGCGGAAUGCGUGGUGUAGCGGUGAAAUGCAUAGAUAUCACGCAGAACCCCGAUUGCGAAGGCAGCCUGCCGGCGCCCGACUGACGCUGAGGCACGAAAGUGCGGGGAUCGAACAGGAUUAGAUACCCUUGUAGUC
rnacentral:rRNA from 1 species